UAGGGAAUUUUCGUCAAUGGGCGCAAGCCUGAACGAGCAAUGCCGCGUGAACGAGGAAGGUCUUCGGAUCGUAAAGUUCUGUUGAAGGGGAAAAAGAGCGGAGGAGAGGAAAUGGUCUCCGAUUGAUAUUACCCUUCGAGGAAGUCACGGCUAACUACGUGCC
rnacentral:rRNA from 1 species